AACGAACGCUGGCGGCAGGCUUAACACAUGCAAGUCGAGCGCCCCGCAAGGGGAGCGGCAGACGGGUGAGUGACGCGUGGGAAUCUACCCAUCUCUACGGAAUAACGCAUGGAAACGGGUGCUAAUACCGUAUACGUCCUUAGGGAGAAAGAUUUAUCGGAGAUGGAUGAGCCCGCGUUGGAUUAGCUAGUUGGUGGGGUAAAGGCCUACCAAGGCGACGAUCCAUAGCUGGUCUGAGAGGAUGAUCAGCCACACUGGGACUGAGACACGGCCCAGACUCCUACGGGAGGCAGCAGUGGGGAAUAUUGGACAAUGGGCGCAAGCCUGAUCCAGCCAUGCCGCGUGAGUGAUGAAGGCCCUAGGGUUGUAAAGCUCUUUCACCGGUGAAGAUAAUGACGGUAACCGGAGAAGAAGCCCCGGCUAACUUCGUGCCAGCCGCCGCAGUAAGAC
rnacentral:rRNA from 1 species